rnacentral:rRNA from 1 species
AGAGUUUGAUCAUGGCUCAGGACGAACGCUGGCGGCGUGCUUAACACAUGCAAGUCGAACGGUGAACCUUCUUCGGGAGGGGAUCAGUGGCGAACGGGUGAGUAACACGUGGGCAACCUGCCCCCGGCUCUGGGAUAACUCCAAGAAAUUGGGGCUAAUACCGGAUAUUCACUGCUGGUCGCAUGGCCGGUGGUGGAAAGUUUUUCGGCUGGGGAUGGGCCCGCGGCCUAUCAGCUUGUUGGUGGGGUGAUGGCCUACCAAGGCGACGACGGGUAGCCGGCCUGAGAGGGUGACCGGCCACACUGGGACUGAGACACGGCCCAGACUCCUACGGGAGGCAGCAGUGGGGAAUAUUGCGCAAUGGGCGGAAGCCUGACGCAGCGACGCCGCGUGGGGGAUGACGGCCUUCGGGUUGUAAGCCUCUUUCAGCAGGGACGAAGCGCAAGUGACGGUACCUGCAGAAGAAGCACCGGCCAACUACGUGCCAGCAGCCGCGGUAAUACGUAGGGUGCAAGCGUUGUCCGGAAUUAUUGGGCGUAAAGAGCUCGUAGGCGGUCUGUCGCGUCGGCUGUGAAAACCCGGAGCUCAACUCCGGGCCUGCAGUCGAUACGGGCAGACUGGAGUUCGGCAGGGGAGACUGGAAUUCCUGGUGUAGCGGUGAAAUGCGCAGAUAUCAGGAGGAACACCGGUGGCGAAGGCGGGUCUCUGGGCCGAUACUGACGCUGAGGAGCGAAAGCGUGGGGAGCGAACAGGAUUAGAUACCCCCGUAGUCC